UGAGGCCAUGUCCUCAGAGCUUGGUUCUUCUGCCACAGUUGUUCCAUCUUUUGAACUUCUAAAAAGCUGGGUACCUGAGAAGAGAGUGAUUAGACAGUGUAUCAUGUGCUCCAAACUGCCUCUGGUGGCCAAUGGGCCCACUACCACCUCAAUGGAAGGAUAUUGUGCCUUCCCCAAAUGGCUACUUCAGGCAGCUUCAUCCAGGGCUGGGAGUAGACAAGGAGCAGUUUAGGGUAGGCCCACUAGGUUCUCCCCAAACCACAAAGCUUUAAGAAGUAGGAUAGGAGAAGAAGCAGAGAAAUGGAUGAGGGGCUGGGAUUAAGGGUGAGACAAGAUAGUACCCAUGUUCUGAUACCCAGGGGAGUUAGUUCUGGGGUUCAGGGCUGGGCAGGGAAACCUGGCAGGUAACCCUGACUCUGGCAGCAGACUGGUAAGCUGUCCAAAAACAAGAGGAAGAAGAUGAGGCGCAAAAGGAAGCAACAGAAAAGGCUGCUGGAGGAGCGGCUGAGGGACUUGCAGAGGCUGGAGGCUAUGGAGGCUGCAGUACAAACUGAGGACUCCAGCUCAAGACUAGAGCAGGGCAGUGGCUCCACCUCUUCUUCAGGCUGCCACCCGGAAGGCACCAGG
ensembl:lncRNA